rnacentral:tRNA from 1 species
UUGACCUAGAAGCCAAAAAGAGGCUUAUUAUUGUUAAUAAUAACAUUGAAUAUUUUAUUCCUGUCAAG